CCUGCCAAAGCCAAGUCAUUGAGACCUUUUUCAACCUCUGGCGGGCGAACCUCAGAUGGGUUUCACUCAUUAAUUAAUCAAAACUUCAAAUAGUAACCACAGAAACCGAACGGGCUGUGCUCAAACGUGGCGCACAUCAAACUGACCAAUGGGUACUCAAAGGAUUGCUUUAUCCUUUGGCGAGCUAAAAAGUUAUCCGUUAAUUAUUCAACAGGGAGCACGGCGGGGACAAGUCUUCUGCUUUUUGGCCAAGUGGCAAGUUUACCGAAACUUGCAAAAAAGCUGGGGGAAGCCGAACUAAAAGGAAACAGCAGCACCGGCGCCGGCAACUCCUUGUUGCAGCAAUCUAGAUUCACAGCCAGCCGCAGAGGUGUAACCAAGUCCUUGCAACAAAAACUUUCAACACAUGUUGCUGUGUGUGUGUGUGUGAGUCAAUGUUGCUGCUGUUGCUGCUGCUGCUGCUUUCUUGCUGUUGGCAGCCAGUGAGGCAAGCAAACGCAGCAGCGGCAGACGGACGAUCGCCGAUGGACGAUGGGAGCCUCCUGGCCAGGACGAGGACCAGGACCAGGACCAGGCUUCCUUAAAUAUUAAAAGUCCAGGCAGGAGGGAACAAACACAGUUGCUUGUGGCAAGUGUGUGGGGCAGCAAUGUUUUGCACCAAGAGAAAUAUGACAACUGUUGAUGAUGCCGCAUCAAAACUGGCUGAUAAUAAUCGAAAUGCAAAACUGGCUAAUAUAAUUUAUAUAUAUAAAUAAAUAAAUACCAUGCUGACUAAAAUAA